AUUGAACGCUGGCGGCAUGCUUUACACAUGCAAGUCGAACGGUAACAGGCCGCAAGGUCCUGACGAGUGUCGGACGGGGGCGUAAUGCAACCACACGUGUCCAGUCGUUGGGGGUCACUACUCGCAAGAGUAGCUAAUACCGCAUACGAUCUAUGGAUGAAAGCGGGGGAGCUUAAUGCUUCGCGCGAUUGUAGCUGCCGAUGACAGAUUAGGUAGUUGGUGGGGUAACGGCUUACCAAGCCAACGAUCUGUAGCUGGUCUGAGAGGACGACCGGCCACACUGGAACUGAGACACGGCCCAGACUCCUACGGGAGGCAGCAGUGGGGAAUUUUGGACAAUGGGCGCAAGCCUGAUCCAGCAAUGCCGCGUGCAGGAAGAAGGCCUUCGGGUUGUAAACUGCUUUUGUACGGAACGAAACGGCUCUGGUUAAUACCCGGGGCUAAUGACGGUACCGUAAGAAUAAGCACCGGCUAACUACGUG
rnacentral:rRNA from 1 species